UUGAACGCUGGCGGCAGGCCUAACACAUGCAAGUCGAGCGGUAGCACAGAGAGCUUGCUCUCGGGUGACGAGCGGCGGACGGGUGAGUAAUGUCUGGGAAACUGCCUGAUGGAGGGGGAUAACUACUGGAAACGGUAGCUAAUACCGCAUAAUGUCGCAAGACCAAAGUGGGGGACCUUCGGGCCUCAUGCCAUCAGAUGUGCCCAGAUGGGAUUAGCUAGUAGGUGGGGUAACGGCUCACCUAGGCGACGAUCCCUAGCUGGUCUGAGAGGAUGACCAGCCACACUGGAACUGAGACACGGUCCAGACUCCUACGGGAGGCAGCAGUGGGGAAUAUUGCACAAUGGGCGCAAGCCUGAUGCAGCCAUGCCGCGUGUGUGAAGAAGGCCUUCGGGUUGUAAAGCACUUUCAGCGGGGAGGAAGGCGUUAAGGUUAAUAACCUUGGCGAUUGACGUUACCCGCAGAAGAAGCACCGGCUAACUCCGUGCCAGCAGCCGCGGUAAUACGGAGGGUGCAAGCGUUAAUCGGAAUUACUGGGCGUAAAGCGCACGCAGGCGGUCUGUCAAGUCGGAUGUGAAAUCCCCGGGCUCAACCUGGGAACUGCAUUCGAAACUGGCAGGCUAGAGUCUUGUAGAGGGGGGUAGAAUUCCAGGUGUAGCGGUGAAAUGCGUAGAGAUCUGGAGGAAUACCGGUGGCGAAGGCGGCCCCCUGGACAAAGACUGACGCUCAGGUGCGAAAGCGUGGGGAGCAAACAGGAUUAGAUACCCUGGUAGUCCACGCCGUAAACGAUGUCGAUUUGGAGGUUGUGCCCUUGAGGCGUGGCUUCCGGAGCUAACGCGUUAAAUCGACCGCCUGGGGAGUACGGCCGCAAGGUUAAAACUCAAAUGAAUUGACGGGGGCCCGCACAAGCGGUGGAGCAUGUGGUUUAAUUCGAUGCAACGCGAAGAACCUUACCUGGUCUUGACAUCCACAGAACUUUCCAGAGAUGGAUUGGUGCCUUCGGGAACUGUGAGACAGGUGCUGCAUGGCUGUCGUCAGCUCCUGUUGUGAAAUGUUGGGUUAAGUCCCGCAACGAGCGCAACCCUUAUCCUUUGUUGCCAGCGGUUAGGCCGGGAACUCAAAGGAGACUGCCAGUGAUAAACUGGAGGAAGGUGGGGAUGACGUCAAGUCAUCAUGGCCCUUACGACCAGGGCUACACACGUGCUACAAUGGCAUAUACAAAGAGAAGCGACCUCGCGAGAGCAAGCGGACCUCAUAAAGUAUGUCGUAGUCCGGAUUGGAGUCUGCAACUCGACUCCAUGAAGUCGGAAUCGCUAGUAAUCGUAGAUCAGAAUGCUACGGUGAAUACGUUCCCGGGCCUUGUACACACCGCCCGUCACACCAUGGGAGUGGGUUGCAAAAGAAGUAGGUAGCUUAACCUUCGGGAGGGCGCUUACCACUUUGUGAUUCAUGACUGGGGUG
rnacentral:rRNA from 1 species